CUCCUGAUCAAGGCCCUCUGGCCUUUCCCGAGCUGCGAAUACUUGAAUUAUCGGAUAACAGCUUUACCGGAAGCUUGCCACCAAGUUACUUUGUUAACUGGCAAGCAUCAUCAGUCAAGAUAAAUGAAGAUGGGCGUAUAUAUAUGGGAGACUACAAGAAUGCUUAUUAUAUCUAUGAGGAUACUAUGGAUUUGCAAUACAAAGGUCUAUUUAUGGAGCAGGGGAAAGUGCUUACUUCCUACACUACCAUUGACUUCUCUGGAAACAAACUUGAAGGUGAAAUUCCUGAGUCCAUUGGUCUCUUGAAGGGAUUGAUUGCACUCAACUUAUCAAACAACGCCUUCUCAGGCCAAAUUCCUCUGUCUUUAGCAAAUGUCACGGAGCUGGAGUCACUAGAUCUGUCAAGAAACCAACUAUCAGGGAAUAUUCCAAGAGAACUCGGGAGCCUCUCGUUUUUGGCGUACAUAAGCGUGGCUCAUAACCAACUCAAAGGUAAAAUACCACAAGGACCACAGAUUACUGGGCAACCUAAAUCAUCAUUUGAAGGGAAUGUAGGUCUGUGUGGUCUUCCUCUACAAGGAAGUUGCUUUGCGCCACCAACGCAACAGCCUGAGGAAGAAGACGAAGAGGAAGAGGAACAAGUGUUAAACUGGAAAGCAGUGGUUAUAGGGUAUUUGCCAGGAUUAUUAUUUGGGUUCGUAAUAGCACACGUUAUUGCUUCAUACAGGCCGAAGUGGUUUGUUAAGUUAGUUGGUCCGGAUAAGCAAAAGAAAGCAGAUAAUUCAGUUAGUUUGUUUAUGUCUAUGGAUUCGAGAUGGGAGAGUUUUAAUAGUAAGAACAGUGUAGAAAGUGAGAUGUAAAUAUAGUAUGUUGAUAUUUUUAAACUGAUGUAAGAAAAGAGGUCUUACUAGUUACUAGUUUCUGUAACCUUUGUUCUCUUAAAUGGGACCUCUCUUUUGGCUGAUGAUGUCCAGCAAUAAAAACCUUUCUUUUGGCUCUUGUCUGAUUCAGCUUCCUGUUAAGACAGAGUUGGAUCAAGUGAAAAUAAGAGAAUCAGUGCUAUAAGCUUACACAGGUCUCUAGAAUUCAGUCUCAGACUAGACAUUCACGAGAUCCCUUUUUCUAAGUAUAAAACCUACUACACACCACUGAUAAAAAUCAGUUUAAUGUGAAUAAACAAAAUCAUAUCAUAUGAGGACUUACCAAAUAUAGCAACAUGCUUCACAAUUUGAACUAAUAAUAUUCUCAGAUAACAAUAGAAUAAAGUAUGGACAUGAAAACUCUCUCUCAAGGAGUAUUGUCUCUCGAUUAUGACUGAAACUAAUCCUUACAUAUCAAACUCCGGUCUCAUGGAUUUUCAUAAAUUAGCUAAAGGGAAAAUACUAAGAGAGAGAUAUAUAUUUCAGAUGAAAGAUUCUGAAAAUUCUUAUACAUUCACACAUUCCUUAGAUAUAGAUUCAGAUGAAAGAUAUAAUCUGACAAUUUCUUCUCCAAUCCACAAAUUAAAUCAAUGCCAGUUCUUCACUGUAACGAACUAACAUCUUCAAAAGUUGACCAAGUCUUCUCCAAUCCAGAAACAAAUUAAUGUAAAUGCCAGUUAUUUGUAAAUCUACACAUUCAAUGACAAGAAAUAAUAUCAACAAACUAAGAAAGACGAAUUAUUAUCUUGUAAUCAAAGCUUGACCAAAUCGGCGUUUGAAUCAAACAAAAGAAAACCAGCAAACCAGCAAACCAAAAUCAGAUAUAUAGCAAAUUUACUGAUGAAUUCGAUAACUCUUGCUUGGAAAAGGAAAUCACCUGAAGCUCCUUAGAUUAUUUCGGAAGCCGCCACUCAACCAAAACGUCGGCGAGAGUGACGGUGACUGUAAUCGCUUCGCCGUUGUCGCGUGAUUAAAUCUUCCUUAAGCGACUUAUGUCUUAAACCAAAUCUCGCAAAUCUGGUUCAUUAAAUUGUAUAUAACCGGUUUCGUAUAAACCGAAAUGUAAUUUUUGGUCUAAAUUGGUUUACAUAAUGCUGCUGGGUGAUUAUUUUUUGUUUCGCAUUUUUUUUUUUCCUACUGGUUCAGCCUUUUGAGUCG
rnacentral:lncRNA from 1 species